GACGAACGCUGGCGGCGUGCCUAAUACAUGCAAGUAGAACGCUGAAGGAGGAGCUUGCUUCUCUGGAUGAGUUGCGAACGGGUGAGUAACGCGUAGGGAACCUGCCUGGUAGCGGGGGAUAACUAUUGGAAACGAUAGCUAAUACCGCAUAUGAGUAGAUGUUGCAUGACAUUUACUUAAAAGGUGCAAUUGCAUCACUACCAGAUGGACCUGCGUUGUAUUAGCUAGUUGGUGAGGUAACGGCUCACCAAGGCAAUGAUACAUAGCCGACCUGAGAGGGUGAUCGGCCACACUGGGACUGAGACACGGCCCAGACUCCUACGGGAGGCAGCAGUAGGGAAUCUUCGGCAAUGGACGAAAGUCUGACCGAGCAACGCCGCGUGAGUGAAGAAGGUUUUCGGAUCGUAAAACUCUGUUGUAAGAGAAGAACGAGUGUGAGAGUGGAAAGUUCACACUGUGACGGUAUCUUACCAGAAAGGGACGGCUAACUACGUG
rnacentral:rRNA from 1 species